CUCGCGCGAUGCGCUCGAUGCUGACUGCUGCAGCUGACCGACUUACGUCAUCGUGCUACUGACACCUUAUUUAUCGUUAUGAGUGUGUCACUCAUAACACUUUAAAUGAGCCUUGUGCUAAUUUCUCUCUCAGUAGUAAUUUUGUCUUUUCAGAUAGUAGUUUCAAUUUUUCUAAUAACAUCCCAGACACAUCGACAUGUAAUAGUUUUGUACUAUCUGAUGCCUUAACCGAGUUGAUCGAUUUUGAAAACGAAAAUUUAGUGAAAGACAAACAAAUUCUCGUACUUUAGAGGAAGAUUUGCGAAAUUUAGUUUCGGAAUGUUGUAUUCCACAAAGCACUGAUAACAUUGAUAAACUUCUUCUUAUUCUGCGAAAACAUGUGCGCAAUGAUUUACCUCGCAAUUGUAGAAUGUUAAUGAAAACGCCGCGUAAUAUUUCCAAACAAAUAUCUUCUGUUAUGACGGCAAUUACAUACAUUUCGGAUUGUCUUCAGAUGUUGACCAACCCGUGGAAAUAAUUUCGAAACAACCUGAUACAGUUACUUUGAAUCUUGUUCUAGACUCGAAUUUUAAAAAUGUGCCAAUUAUUGAUAUUGCUCAUGGAAAUGAUAUAACUGUUACAACGUACUGAAGAUAAAUUGGAUAAAAUAUUAAGAACGAAGAUUUCUGUGAAAAAUGAAUUGCGAAACAUAUCUCACAGACUAGCAAAUCUUAAGGUAUUAAGAGGACCAAUAGAGGCUGUUGAUAAUGAUAACGCUGACGUAAUAACUCCGUCAUUACAAUUAUCGAAUAUGGCAUUAAAUUGUUUGAAAGUUUCAUAAAACAAAACAAAGUAGCAACAUCACAGCUUAAAAAAAUAAUAAUGAAAAUUGGAGGAAAUACACCACGCUUAACAAUUCAUCGAACUCUAGAAAGAGUAUUCACUAAUAAAUGUACCUUGGAUUGCUUGUGGAAGGGGGUCAGAUCAAAUUUUAGAGUAUGUGAUCUACACUUCAUGAAAAUAAUCAAAAAUUCUGUUUGCUCCACUUAUACUACCUUAACUGAGGCAGAAUUUGAGGCAACAGCAGCUAAAUAGUUUCGUUUUGCCAAACAAUGAGCUGCUCGGGAAGAGAAGAAGAUUAAUUUGCAACAGCCUCUAGCACCGUAGAUCAAGAAAAUAAUUUAGAUAAAAAACAAUUGAUUAUAUUAUACGAGGGUAGAUCAUAUUAUACCAGAAUUACCAACCUAACAAAGAAAACACAAAAAAUUUUGGAGAAAACAUCUUUAUUUCUUAACAUAGUCUCCUUUUAGCUCGAUACACUUUUCCCAGCGAUAUUCAAUAGCUUCGAUAUUCUGUUUACAGUAAGAAGCGUCUUCGCCUUCUUUGGAGUCGAUUUUCCCCUUGCAGUCCAUUGUUUUGACUGUUCCUUCGUUUCAGGUAUGAAAUGAUGGACCCAUGUUUCAUCCAUGGUUAUGAAUCAACUCAGCAAAAACUCAGCUUUAUUACUGUGAAACAUCGCCAAACACUCGAUUGAAACAUCCUCACGACGCUGUUUUUGUUCCACUGUAAGUAAACGCGGCACCUAUCUUGCGCACAGCUUUCUCAUCUCCAAAUUUUCAGUCAGUAUGCGAUGUAUAGCAUUUUUUGAAAUGCCUGUGUCUGCUAAGCUCACGCACUUUUAGUCGAUGGUCAUCCAAUACCAUUUUAUAGAUUUUCUUCACCAUUUCUGGCGUUGUCACUUCAUUUGGUCGACCACUGCGAUGUUCGUCUUGGCAGCUCGUACGUGCUCGUUUAAACUCUGUCAUCCAAUAUUGUACUGUUGUAAAUGAAUAAGGAACAGGCUUCCCCAGAAUAAAAUCUAGUUCGGCUUUAAUAUUGGUUGGAGACCUUUCAAAUGAAAGUAUUAUAUCACAUAAUGAUGACUAAUUUUUUCCAUGUUCCAAAUUCACUGAGAGGUCACUAAUGAUGACUGCCAAACAAAUACUAAAUAACGUAGCAUCUUCAAACUUCACACUUAAGCUUUAUAAAGUUGGUACUUUCUACCAUAGUAAUUUUUUUUAAACAACCGCCAUCUAUACGUCGGGUACUUCUGGGAUUACCCUCGUAUAUGUCUUAUAUAGUCUAUAAUUUUUUAUAAUAUUC
rnacentral:lncRNA from 1 species